rnacentral:lncRNA from 1 species
AAUACCUCCUCUGGCUGGCUGGCUGAUUACUUAAUAUGCAGGUCCAAACACAAUUUAAACCUCUGCAAAACGCACACAACACUAGCAGCAGUGAAAUCAACAAGAUAACCCUACAAAAAAGCAGAAGAGCGGUUGAUUCUUCUGCACCUACACCCUUUAUUUGUAGGACAGCAGCUGAGGGUGCAACUGUCUCUACCACUGUCUGGUGUUACACACCUCCCAGCUGAAUCGUUAUACCCCUCUGCGUGAUUGUCUGCGAAUAACAAGGUGUUAUUGUAUGCUGCUUCUGUUCUGUGUGUUCGUUGUCCGUUAUUAGAUUUCUCGACAAGAGACAAAGUUCACUUGUCGGCUACAU